CGCAGUGUCACCGGCGGGGUUAAGGUACUCGGCUCAUAACCGAGGAUAUGCGGGUUCAAAUCCCGCCACUGCCA
rnacentral:tRNA from 1 species